GAUGAACGCUGGCGGCGUGCCUAAUACAUGCAAGUCGAGCGAACAGACGAGGAGCUUGCUCCUCUGACGUUAGCGGCGGACGGGUGAGUAACACGUGGAUAACCUACUUAUAAGACUGGGAUAACUCCGGGAAACCGGAGCUAAUACCGGAUAAUAUAUUGAACCGCAUGGUUCAAUAGUGAAAGACGGCUUUGCUGUCACUUAUAGUUGGAUCCGCGCCGCAUUAGCUAGUUGGUAAGGUAACGGCUUACCAAGGCAACGAUGCGUAGCCGACCUGAGAGGGUGAUCGGCCACACUGGAACUGAGACACGGUCCAGACUCCUACGGGAGGCAGCAGUAGGGAAUCUUCCGCAAUGGGCGAAAGCCUGACGGAGCAACGCCGCGUGAGUGAUGAAGGUCUUCGGAUCGUAAAACUCUGUUAUUAGGGAAGAACAAAUGUGUAAGUAACUAUGCACGUCUUGACGGUACCUAAUCAGAAAGCCACGGCUAACUACGUG
rnacentral:rRNA from 1 species